GGCAGCAUGGGGUAGUGGUUUGAGAACUGGACUACAACUCAAGAGACCAGGGUUCAAAUCCCUGCUCAGCCA